rnacentral:rRNA from 1 species
GAUGAACGCUGGCGGCGUGCCUAAUACAUGCAAGUCGAGCGAACAGACGAGGAGCUUGCUCCUCUGACGUUAGCGGCGGACGGGUGAGUAACACGUGGAUAACCUACCUAUAAGACUGGGAUAACUUCGGGAAACCGGAGCUAAUACCGGAUAAUAUAUUGAACCGCAUGGUUCAAUAGUGAAAGACGGUUUUGCUGUCACUUAUAGCUGGAUCCGCGCCGCAUUAGCUAGUUGGUAAGGUAACGGCUUACCAAGGCGACGAUGCGUAGCCGACCUGAGAGGGUGAUCGGCCACACUGGAACUGAGACACGGUCCAGACUCCUACGGGAGGCAGCAGUAGGGAAUCUUCCGCAAUGGGCGAAAGCCUGACGGAGCAACGCCGCGUGAGUGAUGAAGGUCUUCGGAUCGUAAAACUCUGUUAUUAGGGAAGAACAAAUGUGUAAGUAACUAUGCACGUCUUGACGGUACCGGAUCAGAAAGCCACGGCUAACUACGUG